rnacentral:rRNA from 1 species
CACGUAGGGCGCGAGCGUUGUCCGGAAUUAUUGGGCGUAAAGAGCUCGUAGGCGGUCUGUUGCGUCGGCUGUGAAAACCCGGGGCUCAACCCCGGGCCUGCAGCCGAUACGGGCAGACUAGAGUUCGGCAGGGGAGACUGGAAUUCCUGGUGUAGCGGUGAAAUGCGCAGAUAUCAGGAGGAACACCGGUGGCGAAGGCGGGUCUCUGGGCCGAUACUGACGCUGAGGAGCGAAAGCGUGGGGAGCGAACAGG